GAGGGCAAGGCAGGUGGAUUACUUGAGGUCAGGAGUUCAAGACCAGCCUGGCCAACAUGAUGGAACCCCAUCUCUACUAAAAAUACAAAAAUUAGCUGGGCGUGGUGGCAGGUGCCUGUGAUUCCAGCUACCUGGGAGGCUGAGGCAGGAGAAUCGCUUGAACCCAGGAGGUGGAGGAUACAGUGAGCCGAGAUCGUACCACUGUACUCCAGCCUGGGUGACACAGUGAGUAAGACUCCAUCUCAAAAAAAAUAUAUAUAUAUAUGUGUGUGUGUAUGUGUGUGCGCGCGCGCGUGUGUGUGUGUGUGUAUGUAAAGGAGACAAAUGACAAGCCUGUCAACUAGGAGUUUCACACCACUCUCAUAGCAGCUGCUGCCCCCUACACUUGCUUAUUCCAUCUUUGGAUCUUUCUGCUCAGAACUCAGAGUCCCAGGGGAGGAAGCUGGAAUGACAGCCCCAGCAAGACUGCACAAGGAGAGAAGGAGUCCCCCUAAAAAUCAAAGCUGGGCCUUGCUUUCAAACGAAGGGCAGAAUAUAAGCUGGACCAACACAUAACAUUUCUGGAGGAGGACCGUGUCAUGGUUAGGACACACGUGGGUUCAAGACCAGACACCUCAACUCUGCAGACCUGGCUUCCUCACCUAUGACAUCCCUCCUCCCAGGUUUGCUGGAAAGAUUGAACCAGCCGGACACAACCAGUGCCUGGAGUCGGCCUGGCAUAGUACUGAAUUGUUCACAGCUGGCAGCGUGGCCGAAUGACUCACCCCUCCCGGAAGGAUGCCCAUGUCAACCCAGCAGCUUCAUGCAGGUCAACGCUUGUUCCCUCAGCACCCAGAAGGUUUAG
rnacentral:lncRNA from 1 species